CGGCGGCAGCAGGCCCGGCCCGACCCAGCUGUGCAGGCCAGAGGCAGCAGCGGGCCCGGCUGCAGAGGACAGAGGCGGUGGCGGGCCUGCCUGACUAGUGACUUUAAUCAAGCAAUCCCUGGCCACCUUAGAGAUCAUAUUAACAGUGCAACCUAACCGGCCAACACCAACAUAGGAUGACUCAAGCAGAAAAGUGCUUUGCAUUUAGUUUUAUUUAUUUUUUAAAUAAAGCCUAAGUGAAGCCACCUGUGGGCCCAUCUGAGAAAACAGAAUAGGAAAAGCAGUUGAGUGCUUUGAAUGCAACAGCUGGACAGGAAAGCAAACCAAGGUUGCCUUUCUCUUGCAAGGAUGUCACCUUUCUUGGGCACUUUGGGCACUUCUGAUACAACGCUGGCCGGAGCUGCAAGGAGGUCCGCUGCAGCCUCACACCAGCGAUUUCCAGGAGAGCACCGGCGGGGGAAAUGUGGUAGGGGAGCUAGGGCUCACAGCAACUGGCAUUCAGUCAUGGCUUCUAUCCUCACAACAGCCCAAUGAAGUAAGCCAAGCAGAGAGAAGGGCUUGCUCAAGCCCACACAUUUUCCUCCACAGUAAGGAUUGGAAGCUGGCCCUCCAACAGAUAAACCCAAUAUUCUAGGCCACUAUACUACAUUGCCUAUCUAAAUACUGAAUGGAUGGACAGACUAACUGCAAGAGAGUGGUUGAUUCAAAAUGUAGAGCUGCCUCUGAAGACUUUGGAAGUUGUCGCUACGGCAAGAUGUUGCUACCUUAGCUACUGACAAGAGAUAACCCAGGGCUGGAUG